AUUGAACGCUGGCGGAAUGCUUUACACAUGCAAGUCGAACGGUAGAGGGGGCAACCCCUUGAGAGUGGCGAACGGGUGAGUAAUAUAUCGGAACGUGCCCAGUCGUGGGGAUAACGUAGCGAAAGUUACGCUAAUACCGCAUACGAUCUAAGGAUGAAAGCGGGGGAUCGCAAGACCUCGCGCGAUUGGAGCGGCCGAUAUCAGAUUAGGUAGUUGGUGAGGUAAAGGCUCACCAAGCCAACGAUCUGUAGCUGGUCUGAGAGGACGACCAGCCACACUGGAACUGAGACACGGUCCAGACUCCUACGGGAGGCAGCAGUGGGGAAUUUUGGACAAUGGGCGCAAGCCUGAUCCAGCAAUGCCGCGUGCAGGAUGAAGGCCUUCGGUUGUAACUGCUUUGUACGGUACGAAACGGUGAGCUCUAAUACAGUUUGCUAAUGACGGUACCGUAAGAAUAAGACACCGGCUAACUACGUGCCAGCAGCCGCGGU
rnacentral:rRNA from 1 species